rnacentral:rRNA from 1 species
UACGUAGGGGGCUAGCGUUGUCCGGAAUCAUUGGGCGUAAAGAGCGUGUAGGCGGCCCGGUAAGUCCGCUGUGAAAGUCGGGGGCUCAACCCUCGAAUGCCGGUGGAUACUGUCGGGCUAGAGUGCGGAAGAGGCGAGUGGAAUUCCUGGUGUAGCGGUGGAAUGCGCAGAUAUCAGGAGGAACACCAAUAGCGAAGGCAGCUCGCUGGGACGGUAUUGACGCUGAGGCGCGAAAGCGUGGGGAGCAAACAGG